UACGUAGGGUGCAAGCGUUAAUCGGAAUUACUGGGCGUAAAGCGUGCGCAGGCGGUUUUGUAAGUCUGACGUGAAAUCCCCCGGGCUCAACCUGGGAAUUGCGUUGGAGACUGCAAGGCUAGAAUCUGGCAGAGGGGGGGUAGAAUUCCACGUGUAGCAGUGAAAUGCGUAGAGAUGUGGAGGAACACCGAUGGCGAAGGCAGCCCCCUGGGUCAAGAUUG
rnacentral:rRNA from 1 species